CCUACGGGAGGCAGCAGUGAGGAAUAUUGGUCAAUGGGCGUGAGACUGAACCAGCCAAGUAGCGUGCAGGAUGACUGCCCUACGGGUUGUAAACUGCUUUUAUACGGGAAUAAAGUGCGUCACGUGUGCUGUUUUGUAUGUACCUUAUGAAUAAGGACCGGCUAAUUCCGUGCCAGCAGCCGCGGUAAUACGGAGGGUCCGGGCGUUAUCCGGAUUUAUUGGGUUUAAAGGGAGCGUAGGCGGCAUGUUAAGUGUGCUGUGAAAUGCCGUGGCUCAACCCUGGCAGUGCAGCGCGAACUGGCUGGCUUGAGUGCGCGGAAGGUAGGCGGAAUUCGUGGUGUAGCGGUGAAAUGCUUAGAUAGCACGAAGAACUCCGAUUGCGAAGGCAGCUUACUGCAGCGCAACUGACGCUGAUGCUCGAAGGCGCGGGUAUCGAACAGGAUUAGAUACCCUGGUAGUC
rnacentral:rRNA from 1 species